AACGAACGCUGGCGGCAUGCCUAACACAUGCAAGUCGAACGAGACCUUCGGGUCUAUUGGCGCACGGGUGCGUAACGCGUGGGAACCUGCCCUUAGGUUCGGAAUAACUCCCCGAAAGGGGUGCUAAUACCGGAUAAUGUCUUCGGACCAAAGAUUUAUCGCCUUUGGAUGGGCCCGCGUUGGAUUAGCUAGUUGGUAGGGUAAAAGCCUACCAAGGCGACGAUCCAUAGCUGGUCUGAGAGGAUGAUCAGCAACACUGGGACUGAGACACGGCCCAGACUCCUACGGGAGGCAGCAGUGGCGAAUAUUGGAAAAUGGGCGAAAGCCUGAUCCAGCAAUGCCGCGUGAGUGAUGAAGGCCUUAGGGUUGUAAAGCUAUUUUACACGGGAUGAUAAUGACAGUACCGGGAGAAUAAGCUCCGGCUAACUCCGUG
rnacentral:rRNA from 1 species